GAAUGCUAAUACCGCAUAAGACCACAGUGUCGCAUGGCACAGGGGUCAAAGGAUUUAUCCGCUGAAAGAUGGGCUCGCGUCCGAUUAGCUAGAUGGUGAGGUAACGGCCCACCAUGGCGACGAUCGGUAGCCGGACUGAGAGGUUGAACGGCCACAUUGGGACUGAGACACGGCCCAGACUCCUACGGGAGGCAGCAUG
rnacentral:rRNA from 1 species